UCUCAUUUGUACAAAAGAAACAUAAAUAACUGAGACAGUGUGAGAGAAAGUGUAAAGUGAUGCCAGCUUAUGUCACAAUAUACAAUUACAGGAAAGUAAGAAAUGUUUAAAAUGUCACGCAUAUUUCUUUACGUCAAUUGAAAGCAAAUUGAAUACAUUUCUAAAACUUUGAACUAUAUCUAUUCUUUCGUGCCAACUUCUUGAAACACUCUCGCUGACAGCUUCGCCAGUUCCUAGUCGGAUAAUUGUAAUGAAUUCUGAUUACAAUGUUUGCUGUCUGCUUUGAUAACGGAAGUGUUUUUGGUAUUAUGUUCUCGCCAGACCUGAUUAGGGCAGCGCACUUUGCAUGUGCUUUGCCCCGAAAACGAGAAGAGAAAAGUGUGAGAUGCCAGCUCAGCUCUGUCGAGGCGCUGCCGUUGGGUCAAUGUUCUAAUAAAAAGUUCAAUUUAACUUGAAUUAAUUUCAAUUGCACACAACAACAACAACAACAACAAGAGAAAGAAGUGCCAUUAAAAUUGAGCGUUCGUUUCGAAGUCUUUCGCGUGCUGCUUUAAGCCGGUUCCAGCACAGAUGAGAGUGGGCCAGGGAACAUGAGAAACAAAGGACGGCGGGAGCGAGAGGUAGAGUGUGUGUGAGAGAGAGAGAGAGAGAGAUAGGGCGGGAUUGCUGCCAAUUCGUGCAUAAAAUAUUUAUUCCAAUUGCAGCAUAAUAUUUUUGUAUUUUUUCUUUUCUUUUUUUCAAUUAAAUGCAGUUUCAGAGUUUGUUUCGUUACGAUUCCGUUUCGCUGAAAUA